rnacentral:lncRNA from 1 species
AAAGAAUAUGAAUACUGAUCAACAAGUCAACUACUGUAUAUAUGCAAGAAUCGAUCAACAAGUCAUAUGAGUGUAUAAUCUAGAACUACCGUCAGCCCCUAGCCGACAAUCCUACCCCUCAGGAUAUACCGACCUCAACGGUCAUCAAACGACAGAAGUCAAGGAACCGAUCUCACAAGAAAUCACAAAAUCGCUUUACUCUAAACAUGAAACAGGAUAUGCAGAAUAGCUAAGUAGAACAACAAGGAAAACA